AACGAUUAAAAAAAAAUGCACGUAUGCUUAUUGGAGUUGUGGUUACAAUCGGGUACAUAGCACAGAUGCUUCUGAUCAACGGAGAGACCAAAGGUUCGCUACAAAAAGAGGCACACCUCAAGGCUACCUACCAAGAGGUAAAUGACAAAAUAGCAGACGCUGUCAAACAUGCACCAGCUCGGCUCAAGAGUAAGAGAAAGGAGCGGAUUGAGGAAGCGACAGUGGAUGAGGGUGGAGCAGCAGCACCUGAAUAAACAUAACAUAGUUAUUCACUUUUAGCUUAAAGCAGUUUUACAGUUCUUGAUUGGUGUGCAGGGUUCAUGUUUUUACUGACUUGUUAUUUUGUGAGCUUAUUGCUGUGAUUUUGUUUCCGAAUCUAUUGUGAUACAGUUUAAGUUUUAAAAAAAUAUAUGAGAACUUCUUAUUUUCUGGAUUUUUGCAUUUUUCGUCAGUGGACACCUACCGACAGGAUACUGUGUAUAUGUUCAGGGUAGAUUAAAUGACGUGUCUUAUAAUGUCAUUAGAUAUUCUGGGGCCCCCUCAUUUCAACGUCCUGAAGUGACUUGGGACGUAACUUGUGUCAACUGACACCACAGGUACAUCUAGGAGACGUUAUAUGAAAACAUUAUUUUAAGGUCAACCUCAUAAUGUUGCUAAAUGUCAGAAAGUACAUUGAAAGCCCACAAAAUACAGUUUCUGGUAACUACUGGGAACGUAACUUUCGCCAGUGGGUACCUACAGUACCAACAAGGCACGAAGUGUACACGUUCAAGGAAGAUUCAGGGACGUCUCUUAUAAUGUUACUGAAUAAUGUUAUUUAGCUGUUUAAAAUCCCCCACAUUUCUACGUCCUGAAAAGACUUAAGUCGGACGUAAGUUUUGUCAGUGGACAACACAGCUACGUAGAAGGCACAUUUCACAAUAACGUUAUUAUGACUUAUGUGGAGAAUAAAAUAACUUUGUGGUCACGUCCUGGAACGUAAUUUUGUUAGCUGGGCUAUUAGGCUAUUUCUUCACAUAUAAGUGGAGCAAUGUGCACACAGCAGUAGAAUAUAAGCGCAAAUGUUCCAUUAGCAGCAUAACACCAUUCUCAAAAGUGACCACAAAUGUGAUUAUGUAUGUAACGUUUUUAUUAUAAAGGUGCAUUUUUAAGGUGAAAAUGAUCUUCCCCAAACUU